rnacentral:tRNA from 1 species
GGGGUACAGCUCAGUUGGUAGAGUGCUUGCCUUGCAUGCACAAGGGUCCUGGGUUCAAUCUCCAGUGCCACA